rnacentral:rRNA from 1 species
AGCAUAUCAAUAAGCGGAGGAAAAGAAACCAACAGGGAUUGCCCCAGUAACGGCGAGUGAAGCGGCAACAGCUCAAAUUUGAAAUCUGGCCCUCGGGUCCGAGUUGUAAUUUGUAGAGGAUGCUUUUGGUGAGGUGCCUUCCGAGUUCCCUGGAACGGGACGCCAUAGAGGGUGAGAGCCCCGUCUGGUUGGACACCGAGCCUCUGUAAAGCUCCUUCGACGAGUCGAGUAGUUUGGGAAUGCUGCUCUAAAUGGGAGGUAUAUGUCUUCUAAAGCUAAAUACCGGCCAGAGACCGAUAGCGCACAAGUAGAGUGAUCGAAAGAUGAAAAGCACUUUGAAAAGAGGGUUAAAUAGUACGUGAAAUUGUUGAAAGGGAAGCGCUUGUGACCAGACUUGAGCCCGGUUAAUCAUCCAGCCUUCUGGCUGGUGCACUUGGCCGGCUCAGGCCAGCAUCAGUUCGGCGCGGGGGAUAAAGGCUUCGGGAAUGUGGCUCCUCCGGGAGUGUUAUAGCCCGUUGUGUAAUACCCUGUACUGGACUGAGGUUCGCGCAUCUGCAAGGAUGCUGGCGUAAUGGUCAUCAGCGACCCGUCUUGAAACACGGACCAAGGAGUCGUCCUCGUAUGCGAGUGUUCGGGUGUCAAACCCCUACGCGUAAUGAAAGUGAACGCAGGUGAGAGCUUCGGCGCAUCAUCGACCGAUCCUGAUGUUCUCGGACGGAUUUGAGUAAGAGCAUACGGGGCCGGACCCGAAAGAAGGUGAACUAUGCCUGUAUAGGGUGAAGCCAGAGGAAACUCUGGUGGAGGCUCGCAGCGGUUCUGACGUGCAAAUCGAUCGUCAAAUAUGGGCAUGGGGGGCGAAAGACUAAUUAAACCUUCUAGUAGCUGGUUUCCGCGA